rnacentral:rRNA from 1 species
UACGGAGGGUGCAAGCGUUGUCCGGAAUCACUGGGCGUAAAGGGCUCGUAGGUGGCCAACUAAGUCAGACGUGAAAUCCCUCGGCUUAACCGGGGAACUGCGUCUGAUACUGGAUGGCUGGAGUAUGGGAGAGGGAUGCGGAAUUCCAGGUGUAGCGGUGAAAUGCGUAGAUAUCUGGAGGAACACCGGUGGCGAAGGCGGCAUCCUGGACCAUUACUGACGCUGAGGAGCGAAAGCCAGGGGAGCAAACGGG